rnacentral:snoRNA from 1 species
AUCUCAUGAUUUGGGCAUUGAGCUAGCUUUCCAUUAAACCUCUCCCACACUUCAAAUAAUAAUUCUCCAUUCACUUACCUGAAGUU